CUGGGUAAGAAAAGCCAUUACUGUCUCGUUUUCAUGUGUAUUUUUAUUAAAAAGGUGAAUAAGGCUACUGUAACACCCGAAUCCAUAGACGGUAAGAUCUGAACCUAUUUACAGCGUCUUCACUUAAAACACGAUGGUGCAAGCUCCGAAGUCAGGUGACUAGGGAUGAUAAUACAAGCAAGGCAUUUACAGUAACUUUCCAAAGCUGAACCAACUCCAAAUAAGGGGACAGUUGGUAGAUUGUCAUUUUCUGCACCAGACACAAAACAGACGCACAGGACACUUCUCAAUGGGUUGCAGGUAACUCAACUCUUCAUCAAUUCAUCCGAUUCUUCACAGUUUAGCAUAGAACCAAAACGUAGCCAACCGAUGACACAGACAUUUGAUUUCAUUAAAAUCAGACGGUUUCCCAUGUCUCCCCGCCUCAUCCCUCUCCCCCUAGAAUUAACUUUUGAUGGCUUACAAGAAACUCUUGUGUGAAUGCGCAGGAGAGGUUAGGGUGAUGGAAAGAACUACAUAUGUACUGCAGUUGAUUGCCAUGGCAACCCUCCACAGAAAUAUGAUAUAGAUAUAUAUAAUAUAUACUGGAGAUAUAUAUUAUACAUAUAUGUACACACAUGUACCACACACCCACUCAUACACACACACACACAUCGAACCAACAUCAUUUUCAGGUUUGAGAAGUAGGGAAUAAUCUCUGUGACAACUCAUUUUUGCAGGUACUCACUGGAGGUCUGAGAACCUUCAAAUGCUGUCAUUACAAUUUUUAUUUCCUCCCAAUUCAGAAAGCAAAAUGUUACCAUAGUAACAGGACUCUGUUAAAGAUGUCUCUUUUGCAUAGCACUUAAAAAAAAAAAAAAAGGAAGGCUUCCUGUUAUUCUCUGGAAGGGCAGGGAUGGGGUAGGAGAGGAGGAGGGACCCACAGUUAAACUGGAAUCCCCUCAGUGUGACCUGCUAAAUUCUAGAGAACACUUCAGCCCAUAAGGCAAGGGAAAACCCAACACAGAAAAUAAAGGCCAGCGCAUUUUAUCAUUGUCUAACCCGGGGCAGGGUCACAUCAAUUUGGGGGGCUGGCAUUCCUAGUCUACGGUUCUGCGAGAUUCCCGCAGGACCGUGUUAUUUUUGCCAUUUGCUCUCAUUAUGGAUACUUUUCUUGCUAUUGGUACGUUUCGGGGAGUAGCUACCCAAUCUUUCACUUUUUAAAGCACUAAGCGCUGGGGUCACUUUAAUCACCACCACCACGACCACCACCACCACCGAACUCCACGUCUUCUGGUGUGUAUUGUGUGUAAUCUUAAAAUAUAUAUUAGUAAAAAUCUUUCAUUUUAUAUCCCUUGUGUUCUAUACACCUAUUAUAAAUAUGUCCUAUCUUCGCCUUUCCUUCCGCGGCAUAACUUACUUCCAUCUCAAGGACUCUAAGAGGUGGGCCAUGUGUGCUUUGCUUUGACAUGGAGCCCGGGUACUGCCUUGGAGCCCGGACAGCACGGCCAUAAACCAAAAACCAACGUGUAAGGCUCAAUCAGGGAGGGGGAAGGGGCACUUAUGGGGCCUGGGGAAUCUGACCUGCCUUUCCUAAUGAGAAUUCUCCAAUAACCUCAGUGGUGAUGGACUUACAGCCUGUUUGACCUUUGGCUUUUCAACUUCUAGGUCAGAUUUGGCUCUCUGCUCUUCUCCUAAAUGCUUUCCCUGUGUUUUUAAUAAAAACGUGGUAAUAUAGCAGCUGAGUCUGCUUAAAACAUCUCCCAAAGCAGACGGACUCUCCCACAGCUCUGCGCUGCGCUUUUUAUUUCCAGUACCUCUGCAGUUCUGCCCCAGCACUUCACCGGAGGCCUGCCCUCUCCCUCUGUGCUCUAGCUGGUCCUUUCACAACAAUGGCCCCUUUGUUCCCCGCAGGAGAGGGACUUUUGAUUCCCUGCUGCAUAGCUGUGUGGUAGUGAAAGGCUCCCCACCACUCACCAGUCAGUCACCUCCCACCUGUCUCUGUCCUCUCAGAAAAACCAAAGCAUUAUCUAUUUCCUUCCUGCAUCCCUACUAUGCUCCAGGGGCAGCAAGCAGCCUUGACCUGCCGUGGCAGCCAGCACCUCCUCACUCCUCCACACAUCUGCGCUUCCCGGCUGACCCGGCCUCCAGGUCAGUGCCUCCCUCUUCCAAAUCAGAGCUGAAUUCUCC
rnacentral:lncRNA from 1 species